CCUGGGGGUGGGGAGGGGGACCGUUACUGUGAUCCCGGUGACAGUAAACAAAUGGAAAAGUUUUAUAUUUUCUGAGUUUUGUGGCGAAAUGAGAGCAAGUGGAGGCGGUGGAGGGACACAUGGAGGAGUGGAGAAGACGUGAGGUGGAGAGGUGAGAGCCCCCGUGACAUACUGGAACACGCUCCGCCAAUAAGGAAACUAACAACAGGGGAAGCUUCAUCACCCUCCGGAACUCCCCUGUAAUAAGACACAACUGGUGGGCUGUGUGGUGACCCCGCGUUGUCUGUGAGGGCCACCCCCACAGCCACACACCACCACCACCACCACCAGGAGAGGGCAUCCACCACCUCCUCUAGCAGCUGGCCAGGGCACAGGGCACAAAGCAAGUUGUGGUGGUGGUGGUGAUAGUAGAAGAGAUAGUAGUGGUAGUGGUAAUGGUAGUGGCAUUAAUAGAGUAGUAAAAAUGAUAGUAGAGGUCCUGGAUUAUAUAUUUUUAUUUUUAUUAUUAUUAUUAUUAUUAGUAGUAGUAGUAGUAGUAGUAC